GACGAACGCUGGCGGCGUGCUUAACACAUGCAAGUCGAGCGGUAAGGCCCUUUCGGGGGUACACGAGCGGCGAACGGGUGAGUAACACGUGGGUGACCUGCCCUUAGCUCUGGGAUAAGCCUGGGAAACUGGGUCUAAUACCGGAUAUGACUCCAUGACGCAUGUUGUGGGGUGGAAAGCCUUGUGCGGCUAGGGGAUGGGGCCCGCGGCCUAUCAGCUUGUUGGUGGGUGAUGGCCUACCAAGGCGACGACGGUAGCCGGCCUGAGAGGGCGACCGGCCACACUGGGACUGAGACACGGCCCAGACUCCUACGGGAGGCAGCAGUGGGGAAUCUUGCGCAAGUGGGCGAAAGCCUGACGCAGCGACGCCGCGU
rnacentral:rRNA from 1 species